CCCAUUGCAAUUUCUGGACAUGACUUGUAAUGGAAAUCUUUUACUGGAAGUGAGUAAGAUUCCUGCAGAUGUACAGGCUAAAGGUGGUCCUCUUAGUAUCAGUGGAAAGGUAGCUCAUGCCAUCAAUCUCAGUGGACUGAGGGAAGUGUGUAUUAGGAGAGUGGAUAAAGAUGAAGUGGCACUUGAUUUGGUUGAAUUCAUAUUUAAAAG